AAUGCUAAAACGCACAUACACAGAGAUGAAAUUUAUUUUAAAAAAAUUAAAACAAAAAAAACGUACGUAAAACACACAAACACCACAUCUACACACACACAAGACAGGACACCACAUCCACACACACGUCACACUCGAAAAAACGACUAAGUCAAGAAAAAAAAAUUCCGCCCCAGCCUGCCAUUUAUAACAAAACAGACGCUCGUUGUCAGUGUAGCCACUUGAAGUCAAUUUUUCGACAUCCAUGUGUAUGUUGUCUAUGUUAUUUACUUGUCUUAUCUUGUUUUCAAAGAGAUAAGUGAUGAAAAUUCUUCUCAUUGAAAAUAGAAGUUGAAAUUUAAUAAAUACGUGUUUUCAUUUCAUAUUUUUAGUAAAAUAAGUUUCUUUAUCAUGUCAGAGGUACUCGAACAACUCCGCCGUGAGUUACAAACUGAACGAGCACAGAAUACUCAGUUGGCCAACGACAAAACCAUCCUCCAAGAACAGCUGAAUAUGUGCAAAGAAUCCUUGAAAUCAGUCCGUGCAAUCCAGCAGUUUCGAGCGUUGAUCGAAUCCCUUGAGUAUCAGUUUACCGCCCUCGCUCCGGAGUUUAUAAAUCAAAACAUACUUAAUCAAAAUCCACAAGACAAGUUUACUAGCAGAGUGGAGAAAUGGAAGUGGAUCCUAGAAUUUUCCCCCGAUCCUCGCGCGAAAAAGAUUAGUCAUGAACUUAGAGCUUUUGAUGCCGUGGAUAGCUUUUGUGAAUGGAUAUCGUCGCUGUGUAUAAUAAACUGCCCAAAAGCGAUCCAUUUACCUGGGGCAAAGGCACUAGCGCCUCACGAAGUGUACGAAGAACUCGUCAACAAUGAAAUUGCCCUAGAUGAGUGGAGUAAAUGUGCGAUGCGAAUAAUAUUGUGCGAUAUCAACGAUAUGCCAUUUCCGACCGCUGAUUCAUUAAACACUGCUUCUUCGAAUUCCGAAUCCAUGAACAUCUAAUUUUACCAAUUUUAUUUGUAAAUUACGUACAUACUGUAUAUAGACACUAUAGUGAGUGUGUUAUAUGAAAUUUUUAUCAUUAAAAGUAGUCUAGAUUUA